GUAGUCAGAUUCACAUCAAUUUAUAUAUAUUGAGGUGGAUUAAAGUAAAAUUUAAACUAAAUUCCACCUUAAUCCACUUUAAUAUAGAUGGAUUGAGAUGAAUCUGACA
rfam:Sorghum bicolor cultivar BTx623 chromosome 2, whole genome shotgun sequence.